UACAGAGGGGGCAAGCGUUGUUCGGAAUUACUGGGCGUAAAGGGCGCGUAGGCGGCCUUCUAAGUCGAACGUGAAAUCCCCGGGCUCAACCCGGGAACUGCGUCCGAUACUGGAAGGCUUGAAUCCGGGAGAGGGAUGCAGAAUUCCAGGUGUAGCGGUGAAAUGCGUAGAUAUCUGGAGGAAUACCGGUGGCGAAGGCGGAUCUCUGGGCCAUUACUGACGCUGAGGAGCGAAAGCGUGGGGAGCGAACAGG
rnacentral:rRNA from 1 species